rnacentral:piRNA from 1 species
UGGGAUCUUCCUCAUGACCAGGCCUGGGC